rnacentral:rRNA from 1 species
CACGGGGGGAGCAAGCGUUGUUCGGAAUCACUGGGCGUAAAGGGCGUGUAGGCGGUCAGGUAAGUGGGAUGUGAAAUGUCCCGGCUCACCCGGGGACCGGCAUCCCAUACUGCUUGGCUUGAGUACGGGAGAGGAUGUGGGAAUUCCUGGUGUAGCGGUGAAAUGCGUAGAUAUCAGGAGGAACACCGGUGGCGAAGGCGCACAUCUGGCCCGAUACUGACGCUGAGGCGCGAAAGCUAGGGGAGCAAACGGG